UUGGAUGUCGAAAUGUUUUUCUGGGAAUUUUGAAUAUUUUCUCAUCAAGAGCAUUUGACUUAUAAUCCUCCGUCUUUGUGGGAGAGCCAUGAAUCCCAACAAGAGAUUCACUGAGGUGCACUGAGAUCUGCAGUGCAGUUUCUGAGAUGUGAAGCAACGAUGGAGCUGCUGAGUGGGGAGUGAGCACAGUCUCCGGGACAGAUUGCAUACUAGGUCACCAUGGUAAUGGCUUCCGUUACUGAGAUGUAAGACUGCUGAGCUUAGCUGCAGAGCCUGGUCUAUAUGUAGAUUCUCUGAGGGCCGCCUUGGUUCUAGGAUCAGAAGAUUUUAGUGUGGGGGUGAGUGGCACUUCCUCUGCUGCAGUAGCUCCUAAGUAUCUACUUCUAAGGGGAGGUGACUGAAGCAGCUUCAUCUUCUCCAGGACUCCUCAGAAGGGGCGAUUUGUAAUCUCAGUGACAAGAGAUGCUGGUAUUUUCUUCAGAAAAACUUGCUGGGUACCAUGGUAACCGAUGCCAGUAGGGUUCUUCAUCCUCUUUUCCUCUCUCUGAGCAUCUCAGUUAUGACAGUCUCACCAGACAUAUUUUAACAUGGAUUCUUCUUUUUUUAAUUUUAUUGGUUUACAGGGAGGGGUGUGUGAGAACUACAUUUCUUUUAGUCCUCUGCCUUGGCAACUUUAAUCUCCAGAAUCCUAUACAUCUUCUGUGAUAUAUGUAUGUCUUCAUAGAAAAGGAAAACUGAAAUAUCCAUUCCUUAUAUAAUGCUGAUUGGAACGAAUAUUAUAUUUAAUGUUUUGGAACAAACAAAAAUCCCAGGCCCUGUUCCUUCCUCUGAUUUAAAUGCUCUCCAGGCCAACUUCCCCCCGGAAGGAAAACAUGAGAUCUGCAGUGCUAGUCCUGGCUUGAGUUAGUCUAUCUGGGUGGUUCAGGCAGAAGACGGAAGAACGGAGACUCGAUUUCUGCUCACUGACUUCUAAGAGGAGAAAUCUGCCUGUGCUAGCUCUCGCCUUCCAAGACCUAGAGUUUGAGCCAACUCAAACACUGAAAUCUUCUCCAUUUACUUUUGCUUAUACAGAACAUCUGUACCCUUUUUGCAUUGCUUCAUGUCUGGUGAUCUGAAAAACUCCUACACAAUCCACUAUACCCACUUCAGGGUGAUUUUUAUUAGAUUUCUACAAUCGAGGGUCCUCUCCUUCAUCUUAAGGUAAACGUGAUUUGCGCCAUAUUGAAACUUCCUGGGGUUUGUUAUUUGCUUUCAUUGUAAGGUAUAAUGAAGGCAUCAACACUCCUUUGGUUGCUUUGCUACACUGUGGCUUCCACAAAGACAGGAUCAGUCUCUGAUCCCCAGCAAAAUUCAGUGCCAGGUGCACAGGGGAUACUUGAUACAGGUUAGCCGAAUUAAAUCAAACAGCAAAAUAAUAAUGUCAUAUAAAAUGGUGCACGGGCAGGUGAAUAAUCACUGCUGAGAUGAGAGAAUUUUGAAAUCCCGAGAGGGUCAGCCACUUCGCAGGCUGUACUUGCGGAGCACUAUAUCAAUCAAGGACCUGUUUUCAAUUGCAUGGUGACAGGUUUACUCUCCGGCUAUAAUGAUAUGAAAUAUGUGGUAUGUAUAAUUUAUUGUAGUUCAUAAAAAACCGAACUCAAACUCCUGACAAGAGACAUCCACAGAGCAUCAAAUUUGCUAAUAUGAAGAAAGAUGCUCCCAAUGAAAUACUUUAAUGCAGGCGAUGUUCUUGGAGAGUUCCAGUUUGCUCAGAAAUUCUAAGGCUAACUUAAAUACAAUUUUAGAUUGCCUAAACUUUUAGAGACGGGACAAAGUGUUGUAAUUUAGUCAGGAAGAGAAUAAUUAUAUUCUAUAUUAAGGGAAAAAAUGUAAAUUCCUCAAUGACACACUCAAUUUUCCCUCAAAGGCAUGAUAUAAGCCGGCUUCCUGGUACCAUAGCGAAAUAACUAAGGUAGUUAAAUUACAAAUAGAAAUUUUCUUAGCUAACAGUGUUUGAGGUUAAUUCCAGGACAGAUCUGAGAACAAGUAACAAUGUGUGUGUUGGGGAUGACAAAUGGAACUGGCUGCUCAGGCCAUGAAGAGGAAGCAGAGGGAGGAAGAAGCUGGGAUCACUAAGGCUUUGUUGAAAAGACAGUGCAAUAUCCGAAGAGCUCCCCGUGUCCUGAAGUUCCCAGCUUCACCAGUUCCUCCCAAACACCACACUUCAAAGCAAAUUCUUGAAACCCAGAUACUUUUUUUAUUAACUUGAGUAUUUCUUAUAUACAUUUCGAGUGUUAUUCCCUUUCCCGGUUUCCGGGCAAACAUCCCCCUCCCCUCUCCCCUUCCUUAUGGGUGUUCC